rnacentral:tRNA from 1 species
GGGGCUAUAGCUCAGCUGGGAGAGGCGCUUGCAUGGCAUGCAAGAGGUCAGCGGUUCGAUCCCGCUUAGCUCCACCA